CUACGGGUCGCUGCAGUGGGGAAUAUUGGACAAUGGGGGAAACCCUGAUCCAGCAAUGCCGCGUGUGUGGAGAAGGCCUGCGGGUUGUAAAGCACUUUCGGUUGGGAGGACUGCUUCUAGCACUAAUAUUGUUGGAAGUUGACGUUACCUUCAGAAGAAGCACCGGCUAACUCCGUGCCAGCAGCCGGGUAAUACGGAGGGUGCAAGCGUUAAUCGGAAUUACUGGGCGUAAAGCGCGCGUAGGCGGCUAGAUCAGUCGGGUGUGAAAGCCCCGGGCUUAACCUGGGAACUGCAUCCGAUACUGUCUAGCUUGAGUACAGGAGAGGAGAGUGGAAUUCCACAUGUAGCGGUGAAAUGCGUAGAUAUGUGGAGGAACACCAAUGGCGAAGGCAGCUCUCUGGCCUGAUACUGACGCUGAGGUGCGAAAGCGUGGGGAGCAAACAGGAUUAGAUACCCGAGUAGUC
rnacentral:rRNA from 1 species